rnacentral:lncRNA from 1 species
UGGUGGGACAGCACCGUGUAAGGCAGACAUGUCGGGGGUCCGGGUGGUGUCGCGGCUCCUGGGCGCCCGGCGCCUGGCACUGACUAGGGCGGUGAGUCGGCGCCGUGGGGCGGGCAGGGCGCGGGGAGCCGAGGAGGGGCAGGACUUCCCACGGGGCGGAGCGGACGCCGAGUCCCCCCGGCGCCGGACCGGGACGGGGUCGCGAGGGUCUGGGGGAGGAUGCGGUGAGGAGGCCGCCCGAAGGGGUGGGGCCGACCCGGAGGGCCGCGGGACUCCUUCUGAAGCCAGCGAGUCGCGUCCCGGUGAAGGUCAUGACCCCGCUUGCCGUCCCCGGGGACCCUUCCCCAGAGUACUAAGGUCGCCCCCGCCCCAGCCUUCGGCGCGUGGGGAGGCGUGUUUGCCCGAGGUCACCCUGACAGGUGGCGGCCCGUGGGUGCCCCGGGCCUCUGAAUCCAAAAGCGCCCUUAGAUCUCCGGCGGAGGCGGGCCGGCAACCGCAGGCGCGCGCCGGCCGGGCGCUGUGCCGAUCGCCCUGGGGACGGUCCGUCGGGUGCCAGCAGCCCCGAGGACCCGGCCGGGCUCGGCCCUCCCGCCCCAGGCAGGGUAGGUGGGAGGCACGUCUGACACCGGCGCUGGCGCUUGCCUGGCAACUGUUUGCAAAACCGCGCUUCUUCGGGGAAAGCGAAGACCCGUGUUUCACACCGGGAUCUGGCAACUUUUGGACCUUCAUUUUGGGUUUUGUAUGGUGGCCUUUUGCGCACAUUAGAAAACCAGGCGAAGAACGUCAGCGCUCUGACCGCAGACCACGUUCGGGCGACGGCGCCGGGAAGUCUGAUUUCCCGUGCGUUGUCUGCCCGGACUCCGGUCAGUCGUGGAUGACCGUCAGGGUUGUGCCUUCUGGAGCCCUUGCUUACCGGAUUGUGUCAGAUGUACUCCUUACAGUUACGUCUUCAGGAUCUACCUUUUCAGGUUUUAUUUCAGCACACUAAACUUGGAGGGGUUGUUGUUUGGGUUCUUUUAUAUGAUCCGCCUGCCCACCUACUUAGUAAUGUAAUUACAGAGUGAAAAUCCCAGUGGGAACCGAGGCAUUCAACAGUAUUGACAGGAGUUAUGCCUGUAGUUAUACCUGCAAUUUUCUCCAUUUUGAAAUACAGAUACUAAAAAUUAAGUUAAAUGUGAGAAGGUUAACUCCGCCAUCCUGCCAAUGCCAGAGAACGUUUUCAAUGCUUUCUCGUGCUGCUGUGGUUGAUGCUUCCUGAGCAGAGGUCCCCACUCUCCACACCCCACCCAUCUUGGGCUCUAAGUCCACAAGCUGGAUGGGCAGUGGGAUAUUCUUCGGCAAACGUGAGCAGACUUCUUAGUGCCUCCUGCUUGUUAAGUGCAGUGACCAGUAACUGGUGGUGCUGGGAGAAGAGCUAAACAUGUGUGUCCUCGGUCACCCCAGCGUUCUUGUGCAGACUAAGACCCCUCCAGUCUGUGGAACUCCCUUGACCACCUGCCUGCCCUUUGUUUAUGACCUUGUUGUCCUUUAUGUAAACUGGACUAGAAUUCUAGCUCUGAGCUCUGAGCUGCAAGUGAGAAUAAGAUUCUGAGCACCACUGGUCAGAGUGUGUAAACCUGUACUUUUGUAUUGGCUUGAUUGGAAGUUAUCUUGGUUGAAUCAACUAUUAGCUGCCAGCAUUUACCCUUCUUUUUACCUUGAUGAAGAUAGCUUUUCCUGUGGAAAUUAAUUCUGCCCCCAAGCAGUAUAUGUAGUGGAAUUUAAGAUUGGCAAAAACAAAAGCAUCAACUUAGAACAACAACAACGAAAUGUAUGAUCACCAACUGAGAAAUGUGCACGGAGAGUAGAUGAUGAGGGUAGUUUGAAUAAAAUCCACAGAGAAUUUUUCUUGAUUUCAUUUUGUUCAAUUCUCUGGUGUUUCCAAGGCAGUUUAUAUUUACAGCUGCUUUCAAGUUGCAAAAUCAUCAAACCUAUUUUGCGUUGGUUUCAUUUUUAGUUAUCUUAAUGCACUGACAUAAUUUGCAGACUGUUCUGGUGUAUUGAAAGGAAAAGUAAAAGCAAGGUCCUUAAAUAGUUGCUGGUUAAUUGCUUCAGAUGAGAUUUUUCAAAUUCUUUAACAUGGAUAUCCAAAGUACUGUUCUAGAGUAAGUCAGUUUUUCUUUGAAUGUAUUGUUUUGAAUUUGGCUUAAUGAUGUAUCUAGAAUUACAUUAUUUAGGCCAUUGUGGUAACCUUUUUUGUUUUCCUUUUUGGGGUAAUUGUACCGCUGUGGCAUUCAUUUCUGCAUUCUGUGGGAUGUUUUUCCUGGUUCACUGGAAAAAUUGUGGCUUGGUUUUGAUACGUAAUCUGGAUAUGCAUCUUAUUUUGGAGUCCCAGAGAUUUUUCCUAAGGCUCCUUACCUAGGGGGGAUGUACUGAAUCUGGUACCAGCCAGGCAGACCAGAGUUCAGACCCUGGAUAGACUCCAUUUCUCUUUCAUGAGGGUUCUGGGAGGUAGCCUGUGACGCCCUGGUGUGGUGAUCAUUCUAGCCAGGACCUACACCUACAGCCUGUGCUCGAUAAUCUUGUGAAUUGUAUUCUAAGCAUCCCUGUUUUAAAAACCUUUAAACUUCUAAUGAAAAUAAUUACACAUAGUUAUAAAAAAAAAAGUCAAGGAAUACAGAGGCUUUAUAAAUGAAAAGGAUUGAGACCCUCUCCUAACCUCAGACCUGUUCCCCAGUGAAAUCACUUCUGAAUUGUUUCUGUUAUUGGCCGCUGGUGUUUACCUCCAUGUCUCUAGCUAAUGUGCAGGCUUACGUUCAUCCAUUUUGGACUUUGACUUGUGGCUCUGAAUGAGGACUCAGUUCGCUUAAACCAUCUUCCCCCAUCCUCAGUUCUUCCCAUGGCCUUCCAAGGCACUUUCAGAGCCUUUAUGGGCUGCUUUUCUUAUUAUACAGAUUGUACUUACAAAUAGUUUCUUGUCUGCAAUUCAUAGGUGAACGCUAUCAGAUGGGGACCUGUACUUCGCUAGAUUAAGGGUUUCAAUAUCUCUGCCCUUCUCUUCAGUUUUCUCCCUUUUACCAUUUAAGUCAUUCACUUGUGCUUUCAUGUCAUUAAAAGCUCUGUUUCUUUUAAUUCUGCCUCCAAGGCAGAUUUCCUCACGCUUCUUUACGUUUCCCUGUUGGAAAAUGUUUGAUAGUUUUACUUCAAAAAAUGUUAAAUAGUUUUAUUUAUAGACAAAUUGGGUUAAUUUUGGGCUCUCCAGAUUCUAAAAUUGCUCCUCAAAUCCGAUUUGGAUAAAAAGCUAGUAUUCUAUUUUCCACAGGGAGAUAGUAUGAUAAUUUGUUAGAGAUUUCAUUUUAACAGCUGCCAGUGUUUGAGAUGGCCGUGUGUGUCUAUCUUUAUUUAACGUGAACAUCCUAGAAAGAAGAAAUAAAUACUUAGGGAAUCUCACUGUUACUAUUUUACUUUUUUACAGUUCAACUUAAGCAGGUAAGUUUAAUGAUCAGAACAAAAAUGGGAUCGCUUAGGAAAAACUAUAUAAAAGACGCUUUACAGUAUAAUAUGUCCUUUUCAUGUUGAUUAUUUUUAUAGGAUUUAAUAUGUGAUUAUUCUUCAGUUUUCUGAAUUAAAAUUGUUCAGGUGGCCAUAAAAUCUGGAAACAUAGACAAAUAUACAUAAUAAAUAGUUUACUCAUAUUCCAACAAAUGUUCAAUGAAUGUGCUGUUCCUCAUUAGCAUUUCAUACUUUAACAAGUUAUGCAAAACUGCAUGUGCACCAAAGCACUAUUUCCAUCAAUCCUCGUACAUCCACCUACAACGAAUCGCUUGUGGGGAUUUGUGUGUCUCACUUUCCCUGAAUAAACGUGUGCCUUUAGCACACCCAAGGUGUAAUUAAGGAAGAAGUGUCUGUCAUCUGUGUUUCUGGAUUGUGUGGUCCUGUUUUUGGUUUUGUUUUUUUUUUUAAGUUUCACCUACUAUAAGUCUUAAAAACAUUUUUGACCAUUCGUAUUAUACCAAGAAAAAAGAUGAAUACUAAAUACAAGCUAAUGGAAAAACAAAAAUUCAUUUGUUUUACCUUUCUAUUCCACAUCACAACAUUUUACUGAAAAUGAAGGGAUUUUUCAUCUAUAGAUAAAAGACUCUAAAUGGUACUUAGGUUGUUUUACAAGUUUGAUUUUAAAAUCGUUUAGAAUUCACAAUGGGUCUUACACACAAUGAUUUCAAUAAAUCAGGCACUCCAGAGCACAAUUGGAGGUGUAACAAUUAUGUGAUGACUUCUUAACAGUCCAAGGAGAUAAAGACCUUUUUUUCAAAUAUGGAAAGAAAUUAAUCUUUCUGCAGUAUUAACCCCUAAAAGCUAUCUUCCUUUAUAGACUACAAUAUUAUUGUCAAUUUAAUAUACUUUUAUUUUUUUUAAUCUUAUUUUUAAUGUUUGUUUUACUUUUGAGAGACACAUCCAGUGCGAACGGGGGAGGGACAGAGAGAGAGGGAGGCGCAGAAUCCUAAGCAGGCUCCAGGCUCUGAGCUGUCAGCACAGAGCCUGAUGCAGGGCUUGAACCCAUGAACCGUGAUAUCAUGACCUGAGCCGAAGUCAGAUGCUUAUCUGACUGAGCCACCCAGGCACCCCCAUAUACUUUUAAAAAGAACUCCCAGAGGAAGAAAUUUCUGGAGGUUUUCCCAAAUAUAUACAGCUACUUUUUCUGUCAUGCUUACAACAUCUGCAAAGUACGGAAUGUUCAAAUGCAGAUUCUUAUGAUCAAGGGGCUCCAUAAUUGCCUCCUCCAUAUACUCUUUGAGGUCAGUCACUUUCAUAACUAUUCCUGUAAUAGGAUCAAUCUCUCCAUGUACUGUCACCACAACUUUAUAAUUGUGCACGUGGCCAUUUGGAUUGUUGGCAUUCCCAAACAAUUUCAAGUUUUCUUCAUUACUCAGAGAUGUGCUGUGGAGCCAGUAGGUCGCUCUGAGGGAGAUGAGGUGGGACAGUUGCGUGGUGUUCUUGGCUUGCCUUCCCACUUGGUUGGUGGUGGGGCUGGGACAGGCUCUCUGUUUCUAUUUUGAUUUCAAUUUGGUAUUGUAAAAUGUAUUGUUCUUUUUUGGAACUAUUACCUUUAUCUUGUACUUCAUUAAAAUUUCAUGAACAUUUGUAUUUUGCUGACUUGGUUAUUUGUUAAGAUGUGAUUUUUACCAUUUAAAAAUUAUACUAAAGCAGAAGAAUAUUCUUUUUAAGUUUUUUAAUUCGUUUACUGGACAAAAAGUUGACUUAUGUCAAUAAAAACAAAAGUACUUAUGGGCGCUUGGGUGGCUUAGUCGCUUAAGCAUCUGACUUUAGCCCACAUCAUGGUCUUGUGGUCCAUGAGUUCGAGCCCUGUGUUGGGUUCUGUGCUGACAGCUAAGAGCCUGGAGUCUGCUUCAGAUUCUGUGUCUCCCUCUCUCUCUGCCCCUCCCUGGCUUGUGCUCUCUCUUUCUCAAAAAUAAAUAAACAUUAAAAAAUACAUAUAUACUUAAAGUUGAAAUUGGAGAAUUCAAGAAUAUUGCAUUUAUCAGUUCAGGUCUACUUAGAAAUUCAAGAAACUUCUUUGUAAUUGGAACUGUUAGCAUAAAGUCAACUAUUUGUGGCAGGCAUCAUUUGGUCUCAGUGCUUAAGAAAGUCUAAAAAAAUAUUUUUAAGUUAUUCUUGAGAGAGAGAGCGAGAGGUGGGGAGGGGCAGAGAGAGAGAGAGGGAGAGAGUGAGCAUCCCAAGCAGGCUCUGCACUGUCAGCACAGAGCCCAGAUGCAGGCCUAGAACUCAUGAACUGUGAGAUCGUGACCUGAGCCAAAACCAAGAGUCAGUUGCUUAACUGACUGAGCCACUCAGGUGCCCCUAAAUGCUAAAGAAAGUCUAGAGGUUGGAGCCACCUGCUCCAUUUGCAAGCGGCCAAGCCCUCCAGCCUGGCCUGAGGCCAUUAAUCUUCAAAGAAAGUCCUUCUGUUCAAAACCACUCAGAGUUCAUUUUGUAUUUUGCCAAAUUCUCCUCCCUGAAUUCUCCACUUGUUUGUCCUACAGAAUAAUUUUUUUACCCCACAGAAUAAAUAGCAUCUCUUCCAAACUGCAGAAUACUCGAAGACAUCUCUCAUAUCCCCUUUGUCAUUGUUAAACAUACUUAAUUCCUAAAACUGUUCAUGAAAUUGCUAAGACUUCAUUUUAUCAGUAGCCGUCUAAAAUGCAGUCAUAGAACAGAAAGACAUGCCUUAUAAGUUGGUUUUCAUAUAAAGAAGAUGGCCCCUCAGGCUGGGCUGUGAUUUCAUUAAUACCAAUUUUCUUGAGUAAAUGUGUUCAUAGGGUGGAACAUUUAAGCCAAAACUUGGAGAGUUGGAGAGAUUAGCCAGGGAAUGGCCAGGGACAAGUGUUCAGACAGGGAACAGCACCCUGGAGUAUGACAGAGGAGAGGGGAUGUGGCUACAGCCCAGCGCAGGUGUGGAGAGUGGUGAAGCAGGAGCAUCUCUAGGCCUGGAGUCUUCACAUUCACAGUGAAGGGUUGGUCCCGCUGGUACCCAGUGUCAGGGUGAGCAGUAGAGCCUCUUGUAGAAGAUGGAUCUCCCAAUACACUGUCCCAGGCCUUUUCCAGUGAACCACAAAACCUUGCAGACGUGUGGUGCUAUAGUGUGAAGAGGGUCAUGAUGGAUCCAGUAAAAGUGCUUCAUUGUAAACUACCACUUUCACAAAAUAGAUGGGUUUCCCAUUGUCCACUAAAAACCAUAAAUUAAGAAAUGAACGUGACAUUGUGUCCUUUUCAUUUCCUGCUGAGUCUGUGAGUGUCCUGCUUGGAGACAAGCUUCAUCUAGAAGAGCUUUUCUCGGAGUGCCAACUCCUUGCCACUUGGGCCUGCCCUGGGUCCUUAGUCCGCCUCUACCCUUCAGGGUUAAGUAGAGGACCCCAGGUGAGCUGUCUAGGUGAAGGAGCAGCUGGAUACAUAAAAAGGUUAAUGACUUGGGAAAUUUUGAUGAUUUGUUAUUCUUCUAAGACACUUAAGUGCUCUCCAUCUCUCCAUCUCUGUCUCAGCAGUGGCCCGCGACAUGGCAGGCAGGCACCUGCGGUUUUCACUUCACUAUUGAUGGGAAUAAGAGGUCUUCAGCUAAAGUUUCAGAUUCAGUAAGUUUACAACUUUUUGUUCCCUUAUAAAUGAUAUGCUUGUCUUAGAGGAAUAAUGAUCUAUGCCAGUCUUCAAUAUAUUGGAGUAAUACACAGGUCUUAUUUAAAGGAAAACAUUCUGGUUCCAAUAAUGCUCUAUUUUUAGUGUAUAGCACUUAACUGUAGUACAAAUGUAAGCAUAGUUACUAACAUUUUUUGCUUAUGGUUCUUAAGUAUCUAUAAACCAGAUUAAAAUUUAAAGCAGCAAAAUAAUAAAAUACCAGUGACCACUGAACAUUAUUCAUUGUGACAGAUGACAUAGGACCCUGAAGCCACUUGUGUGUAGGCUCUUGGUGUUUACUGGGUCUGUUCUGUCCUCUGCUGAAGGCACUAAAAUUUGUUUACAAAUUCUUUUCUCACAAGCUCACAAUAGUUACUGAAUACUAGUUGGCACCUUCUCAGUCCAACACAAACAUGGUCCUGAAACCGGGGGGUGGUCCUCAGUGCUGAGGCAGUUGCCCAGAUGAAUCGGAAUGUGCCUACCUAAUUAAAACAACAUACUGGGGCACCUGGGCGGCUCAGUCGGUUAAGCAUCCGACUUCAGCUCAGUUCAUGAUCUCGCGGUUUGGGAGUUGGAGCCCCGCAUCAGGCUCUGUGCUGACAGCUUUCGAUUCUGUGUCUCCCUCUCUCUCUCUGUCCCUCCCCUGCUUGCACUCUGUCUCUCUCUCCUUCAAGAAAUAAAUAAACAUUAAAAAAAAAAAAUUUACCUUUUCUUGAGAAACUUGCUGACCGCAGGUGGAGAAUCAUGAUCUAUAUACUGCAUUAUGAGCUUAGAUUCACACAAGCAUGUGUAUGAAUAUAUGGCUGUCAACGGAAAAAGAUGAACAGAAAGGAUAAUGGAGUAGGAAAGCCGUAUUUAGAACUAAUAUUUUGAUUUGUGUCGUUGCUUUCCUUUGCUUCCACGGUUCCCUGCUUUGAGGCUGUACCUCUUGUUUUCAACAUUUCACUUCAUGGUGGGUGUCCCAGGUGCUAGGAUGCGUGCUCCCUCUUCGUCGGGUCUGUGUUUCGGUCCUGUCGGUGUGGGGUGUGCCAGCCACACACUCUGGGUCCUGGCACAGGGUGGAGGCCCCUCUGCUGUGGUUGCUCUUUCAUCGCUUCUUCCAUUUUGUCUGAGCUCUUGCACUGCACCCACCGUCCCAAUGUGUGGCAUAGGUAAAUGGGUGGUUGACAGGUGAAUUGUUCCUUUCCAGAUUUCUACGCAAUACCCGGUAGUGGACCAUGAAUUUGACGCGGUGGUGGUAGGCGCUGGAGGGGCAGGCUUGCGAGCUGCGUUUGGCCUUUCCGAGGCAGGGUUUAACACGGCCUGCGUCACAAAGCUCUUUCCUACGAGAUCACACACCGUUGCAGCCCAGGUAAGAGAAAGGGGCCCCCUUAAUGGUUUUGGCGCCUGCACAGCAGUGCUCAGUCUUCUGCCACAGGCCUUCUCACUGCACGCCAGCCAUGUUCCUGUCUCUCUGCUCCUUGCACCCACCUGGCUUACUCGCCUUGGGAGUGUGUUCCCACACUGCCUCCACCCCCACUGCCGGAGUCACUCCUAGGGCCUCUUAUCGCUCUGCUGCUCCAGUGACACUCAGGUCUUCUCUGAGCACCCACCUAAUCCUCUGGCCCCCAUCAUAGUUUGUCUUCACUGUACUUUCCCAAUCUAAAAUGAGCCUGUCUCUGGACUGAUUCUCUUGGCCCUGCUGCAUCCUUGGCAUGGGCCUCGUUAAGUAUGAUGAUGAUGAGCUUUGCUGGUGGCAUGAAUGUGCAGGACAGAAGAACAUUGGCCUUUAAAUGCUCAAAAUUUAGGGAAGAGGAUAAAAGUAAGAUGAAAAAGUACACAGUGAUUUUAUAAUUUUGUUUUCUUUCCUGGCACACCGUAGGUGGUACGCAGGUUGUAUAUAGUAUUCCAAAACUGGAAUGAAUUGAACUGUUUUUUCCAGUAUUUGGAACAUAUUUCCUCAUAGAGAUAGCAGAGUGUGGGGUAACUUUCCAGGAACCAGUAAAAGCCACCCUAAUUACUGUUGUAGCCUGUAUUCAGCAUGCAGCAACAUUCUUCAGGCACUUUGCUACACAGAUACUUUGUUCUAAAACUAUGUGUUAUAAACUGAAAAAUAAAUAAUACAUACUUUUGAAGAUUACAUUGUGUCUAAAAGGAAAAAUGGAUGUAAACAUAAGUCUAAAUAAUGAGAAAUAAUAGUAUAUUCAGGUAGUGCAAUAUUAAAACAAUAAAAAGUUAGAAAUGGAUAGCUUACCUUGAAUGCUGGUUGGAGAAAGUAAGGUUUAAUUGGGGGGAUAAGACAGGUGGGGACUGGGCAAGUCUAAAGUGUACUCCUGGGGGGGGCGGGGCACAUGGCUGGCUCAGUCAGUAAAGCGUGCAACUCUUGAUCUCAGAGUCGUGAAUUAGAGCCCUGGGUUGGGUAUAAAGAUUGCUUUUUAUUUUUCUUUGAGUAGGCUCUGUGCCCAGCAUGAGGCCCAGCAUGGGGCUUGAACUCUCGACCCUGAGAUCAAGACCUGAGCUGAGAUCAAGUUGGACACUCAACCGACUGAGCCACUGAGGCGCCCUGAGAUUACUUUAGAAAAACAAAAUUGUAUUUCUUGGGACUCCUGGAAGACCAGCUGUCUGUGGCCCUGAUUCUUACUAGUAGUAGCAAUAAAAUAAUAGCAUGGACAUGUGCACUGGGCCAAGUAUUUAGUGUUAUUUUAAACUAGGUUUCUCUCUUCUGCUACUACUCUGGUACUUAACAGUUUUUACUAGGACUGUGUUUGGGUUUACAAUCGGUGGGGUCGGAGAAGGAGGAGGAAAUAACUUGUGACUUUUGCUGCUUGUCUUGUUAGGGUUCCUGGCUUUGUGCUGGUGACUCUUUUCUUGAUAACUGAAACAUAAUGGGAAACUGAGGCACAGCAGCACCAAGCGGGGAAAGAAUUCCUGCAUGGGUCUGCUUGACUCAGAAGCUUGAUUGAGGAACAUUUGCAAAAAAGAGGGAAGUCAGAAAAUGUGCCUUUUCUUCUCAAAAAGAGAUGAGUAAUCCGGUUUUAAGUUGCGGAGGAAAAGUGUGAGUGUUACAUUUGUCCCUGUACUGCCAUUUUCUGUGACUCUGAGAGACAGACACGGUAGAGAGAAUGUGACUCUGAGUUUAGAGUUUAUUCCUUGACCGUAAGUACUUCUUUAACACAUGUCCAUAAAUGCCACUGGGAACAUUUUGUCAUAAAAUUAUCCCAGAUGGAUUUGCUCAAUACCUUUUAUGUGCCAGGUUUGGAGGUGACGAGCAUUGCUCAUAAAACCGCACUUAACCCUCCAGAUGGCUCUCGAGUUCAGCUUCAUGUCCCUUCAUGGGUAAGGGCACUGAGGCUGAGGGAGGUAAGAUUUGGCGUCUGUCGUGCCUCUCCCUGCUCAGGACGGUCCUGUAACCAACCAGACUGCAGUCAGGUCCCUCACAUGCCGUUGUUGUCAAAAUUAGUUGGUUUUCUCUGAAUCCAGUUUUGGGCAGUGGGUGGAAGGGGGAUGGGCCUGGAAGGUCCAGGGUUCCCUUUCGUAGCUUGUAAGUCUGCCCUGUGUUUACAGGGAGGGAUCAAUGCUGCUCUGGGGAACAUGGAGGAGGACAACUGGAGGUGGCACUUCUACGACACUGUGAAAGGCUCCGACUGGCUGGGGGACCAGGAUGCCAUCCACUACAUGACAGAGCAGGCCCCUGCUUCCGUGGUAGAGGUACUGUCCUUGCAUGGUCUGUUUCUGGUAGAAAAGAGAGGUCGAGGCAAAUGUGGUCAGCCCAAGGAAUGGUAACCAGUUGAUGUAACAAGGGAAAUCUUUCCUAUCAUUAACCAUUCAGUUCAUUUAAUAACAAAGUUUUUCUCUUUUCCUGAAGUGUUGAAAUUUUCAUAGAACGUAUUGGUUUGGGUUUACAGGUUUAUGUUGAAAUUGUUUAGUGUAAAUUAGCGAUGAAUAUCCCGAUUCCUUCAAGGUCCUGGGUGUUUGUUUUCACAUUUCACAGCUGGAGAAUUAUGGCAUGCCAUUCAGCAGAACUGAAGAUGGGAGGAUCUACCAGCGCGCUUUUGGUGGACAGAGCCUCAAGUUUGGGAAAGGCGGGCAGGCCCAUCGGUGCUGCUGUGUGGCUGACCGCACUGGCCACUCGCUGCUGCACACGUUGUAUGGAAGGGUGAGGCCACCCUGGGUGCAUGGGGUGACAGGACAUGGUCUGGUUAGGCCAGGCAUGUGGUGAUGAGCUGGAAACAGGCCACUCUGGGACAGGUCAGAAGGUCAGCAUGUCAGCCCUGGGGUUGCUUAAUAAACAGCAGACUAACAUGGCAGGAUGUAUAUUUGUUAAUUGUUAAUUUGAAAGUGUCUAUUUUAGAAAAUUAAAUUGAUCUGCCAUACCGAAAGUAUAAGAACAGAGCAAGUAUUUUAGGACUCAGCACCUCUGAGUCCCUGAACUAAUUGAUUUAAUACUUAAGUGUUCAAACUGGACUAAGGUUUGGGGGACAGUAGUUACUGGAUAAUCAGGGCCUACUUUGGCAUAGCCAAGUAAUCAAUAUUUGGAAUAACUCUGAUUCAUAAUAUUCAGUAUUCUGAAUUCUUGCUCUCAAAUGGGGACAGAUUCUUGAUUUGCAAAUGUUAGGACCCUGGUGGCAGCUUCGGCUGAGUGCAUUGACACACGUGUGACAGGAUCUGCCCAUCCUGCAGCAUACUGUGUCAUGUUGGGGAGCUGGUGGUUUUGUGAGAGCCCUUCAUGUUUACUGAGCAGCUACAGCAUCUUCUCUGACAUGCAUGACAUGUGUAUGUCCUUCUUAUGGUCUGAUCUGAUCAUACAGCUGAGAGCAGGGUACCUUUCGUGUUGAUCCACAACAGCAUCAGCACUAUGGUUGAUGCAAGUAAAGUCUGUGGCUUCUUUUGCAGCCCAGGGUUUACCCUGUCCAUUUGUUACACACCACAUCAGAGCCCUUGACUUGUUCAUAUGAGCAGUGUUGCUGAAAUGUUAGUUUAACACCCUAAAUGCAAUUGAAACUGUGGGAUUCUUUUUUCUUUCAUGUUUUUUAGUCUCUGCGAUAUGAUACCAGCUAUUUUGUAGAGUAUUUUGCUUUGGAUCUCCUGAUGGAAAAUGGAGAAUGUCGUGGUGUUAUUGCGCUGUGCAUAGAAGACGGGUCCAUCCAUCGCAUAAGAGCAAAGAACACUGUUGUAGCUACUGGGUAGGAGUCUAACUUGUAUUUAGUUUUUCUGCAGGAAAGUUGGGUCUCCGAGUUUCUUUAAAAAAAAAAAAAAUGGAGGCAGUGACCUAACCCAGGAGCAUAAUAAGCUUUGCCAGUCUCAGUUCCAUGUCUCCAAAGGGGACAAUCAUAGCACCUGCCUCAGGUGGGUGAGGAAGUAUCUGUCUUCAGUUUGCACCUGAGAGGACCCUUGAGGAAACGGGUCUGGAGAGUCACGUGACACUUCCUGGCUUAACCUGUCUUUUGCUUUAGUGGACACUGUGUUUAUACUGAUUUCUGGUGUAGAUAAGUGCUGUUUGUUCACAUGAUGAAACUAAAUUACAUUUCUUACAUUGUCAGUCCGUUAUUUUAACCCUUUACAAGAGUGAGUCCAUAAAGCAAAAAUUUCAGCAUUAAAGCAGCACACGCUUCUCAGGGAGGUCGUUCAGAUAGCAUGAAAGUGCCUUGAAGUAUAAACGAGAGUGCCUCCUCCGUCUCCCAGGCUCCCGCCCCAGUUGCCCAGGGUAGCGCGUGCAGACAGCACCUGUCACGGUGCUGCGGGCUGCUCUGUCCGCUCUGGUGCCACUAGAAAGGCGAUCCUGAUGGGACGCCAUGUGUCACUGCUUUCUCUCUGCUGGCCCGUCUGUUUUCCAGAGGCUACGGGCGCACCUACUUCAGCUGCACAUCUGCCCACACCAGCACCGGUGACGGCACUGCCAUGGUCACCAGGGCAGGCCUUCCCUGCCAGGACUUGGAGUUCGUUCAGUUUCACCCCACAGGUAGGACGGGACCACUUUCAUGGGGUCAGGACUCUCAUACCUCUCGAUGCCCCUCUGUAGUCCCACACACUAGCACAUUCUCAGAGCCCAGCUUGUCAUUUGCUCAAGGAAGUUUUUUCCAUUUCUCCCGAGGCAGUUUAGGCCACCACCUUGCCUUGGCGAUACCUGCUCCAGUCGUAAAGCUGGAGCUUUAUGUAAAGACUGUUCAGUGUCCCUCUCCCCAACUCGAUUGUCAGCUCCCGGAGGUGGGGACAGGUGCUGCAGUUCACAGUGCCUGGCACAUAGUAGGACCUCAUCAGUGUUUCCUGAGUGAAUGUCCCGAGAGCUGUUGAUCAGAGUUGUGGCAUGGGCAGAUUCCAGUGUUACAGGGAAAACAUCAGGCUGUCCAGUAGAGUAUAAAGUCGGAACGAGCUAUGGCAGAUGCGGCCCCCUGAGAUGUUAAUGACUGUGGUGCCAUUUGUGGGCACAUUGAGCUCAUCUUGCGUCCUCAGACAGUUGAGUGUGCAAAUGUGGAGUUCAGACGGGAGGUCUAGGCUGCAGGUGCAGAAUUGAGAGAGUUCGUUAUUCAGAUAUGAAUUGGAGAGAGAGAUCUGCCUCUUGGGACAGGCAAGUCUCAAUCUGGACUUUGUUUCUAGUUGCUUUUCUGACCUGUCAACUGAGGGGACACCACACUUUGUGGAAGUAGCCUCCCGCCAUGCUAAAGAACCAGACCUGGGUUUUCUCUUUGCUCUGUCAGUAUAUUUUUUCUGAUCCCUGGCAGGGAUAAAAAGUAAAAAAUGUUUUAGGUAGUUUUUUAAUACUGGUUUUGGGGGUUUUUGUUUUGUUUUAAAGUUUACUUAUUUAUUUUGAGAGAGAACAUGUGAGCGGGAGAGGAACAGAGAGACCAGGAGAGAGAGAAUCCCAAGCAGGCUCCGUCCUGUCAGCAUGGAACCUGACUUGGGGCUCUGGCUCCCAAACUGUGAGAUCAUGACCUGAGCCAAAAUCAAGAGUCAAAACACAAUCGACUGAGCCACCCAGGUGCUCCAGGAAAUUCUUGUUCUUUUUUUUUUUUUUCUUUUAAAAGUUUGUUUAUUUUUGAGAGAAAGAGACAGUGUGAGCAGGGGAGGGGCACAGAGAGAGAGAGACAGAAUCCGAAGCAGGCUCCAGGCCCUGAGCUGUCAGCACAGAGCCUGACUGGGGCUCGACCUCAGCAACCGUGAGGUCAUGACCUGAACUGAAGUCAGAUGCUUAACCAACUGAGCCACUCAGGUGCCUCUGCUUUCUUGUUCUUAAAGCAAGAAAACUCUUCUGGUGUGGUAAUGACAGUUUUAACUUUCAGGUGACAUUGACAUAGGUGUUUGUCUCCUUGUUAAAAUUCAGGUGCUUGGCAUUCCUUAUUGAAGGGACAGUGAGAUUAAGGGCACAGACCUGCCUAGUUGCCAGGUGUGCGUUUGGCUCUGCCUUCCCAGCUGCAGAACACUGACAAGUUCCUAAGCUAUCAUUGCUCUCUCUGAAAAUAGGGAUAUUUCCUGGGGUUGUUACAAAACUUAGAGUUGUAUACAGCAAGUACAGUAUAAGUAUGAACGGUGGUAAUUAUUGCUGUUGUUAACCAGUUUUUAUUUUUUUAUUUUUUUUUUUAAGUUUUUAUUUUUAUUUUCAAGAGACAGAGAGAGACAGAGCAUGAGUGGGGGAGGGGCAGAGAGAGGGAGACACAGAAUCCAAAGCAGGCUCCAGGCUCUGAGCUGUCGGCACAGAGCCCAAUGCGGGGCUCAAACCCAUAGACCGUGAGAUCAUGACCUGAGCCAAAGUCGGACACUCAACCGACUAAGCCACCCAGGCGCCCCAUUAACCAAUUUUUAGAUACGAAUUUUCCAAGCUGGUUUUUCUUACCUAGUCACAAUUUCAUGCUACAAAAGAACAUUCUGCAAUUAAAACAAACCUGAGAUAUUUAACUCAUGCUUGGUUGUGCUGAAAGCUGAAAAGCUGUUGGAAUUGGAAUAUUCAGCCAAGCUGUGUUGUUACUACAUUAGCUGCCCUUUCUCCUCACUGCUGCUUCAUUGGUGCUUUUUGUUGUCAAAACUUCCUACUAUUCCUUACUUAACCUGUCCUUUGUCUUAUUCUGUUGUGAGCAUCAUGCCCCUUGCAUACCCUUUUCCUUUCCACCCCCAGAAACGUAUUGGAAAAAAAUUUGCAUUUGAAAUAUUGACCUAGCAAUUGUUAGGUUAUAAUCAUCUAAUUAACUGGGUUCUUUGCAGGUAUAUAUGGUGCCGGUUGUCUCAUUACAGAAGGGUGCCGUGGAGAGGGAGGCAUUCUCAUUAACAGUCAAGGCGAAAGAUUCAUGGAGCGAUAUGCCCCGGUUGCAAAGGACCUGGCAUCCAGAGACGUCGUGUCUCGGUCCAUGACUCUGGAAAUACGUGAAGGAAGGUCUGUGUCAUUCUAUCCAAAGGUGUCUGAGUGCACACACACACAUGCACACCCUCCUUUCUCUUGGGUGGCUGCUAUUCAAGUCUACAUGUGCACCUGGGCUGGUGUGGCUUCUGUGUGAGUUUUAGCAACUCACCUACCCCACCCAACUCUGAGUAGGCUGCCUCUCCUCCCCUCUGAUGGUUGUUUGUCAAUUUAUGAUAUCCCUCUAAAAACCUACAUUUUGGGAAGUUAAGCUGGUUUGACUUCAGUCUCUCUCAAAUCUGUGGAACAUCAAUUGUGUGUAUGAGUGUUAUGAUAGAGACAGACACUCUGUGUGGGGGAGCAAGACACACAUGCCCACAACCUAAGUUAGCAUAUGGGCCUUCGGUGCUGUUUGGGGACCCACAUGCGUUCGAGACCUUCACUGUGCAGGCUCUUGAGUGCCAGUGCUGCCUUACGAUGGUGAUCUUUCUUGUAUCUUUGAUGUUAUAACUUCUAGAGAUUUUAUAUUUGGAGUGUUUGCAUUAAAAGGACUUUCUAAUGCAUUUACCAAGGAAAACAGCUAAUUGUGACUUCCUAAGACUAGAGUAUGAGCUCAGUGAGGGCUGGAAGUCUGUCCAUGUUCUGGCUGUGUCCUACCACAUUCAGUCUACCCUGUCACAGAGCAGGUGCUCAGAGGAGAUGUGAAGAAUGGAUGGCCACAAGUGAAGGGAAAUUUUGUACAGCAUAAAAAAAUGUAAACUCAUAGUCUCACAUUUUCUAUAAUUGCCGUUUUUUGCCUCACACCGUGAUGUCCUUUUCCACCAGAGGCUGUGGCCCUGAAAAAGAUCACGUCUACCUGCAGUUGCACCACCUACCCCCAGAGCAGCUGGCCAUACGGCUGCCUGGCAUUUCAGAGACGGCCAUGAUCUUCGCAGGUGUAGAUGUCACCAAGGAGCCCAUCCCCGUCCUUCCCACCGUGCAUUAUAACAUGGGCGGCAUUCCUACCAACUACAAGGGGCAGGUGACCAAACCAGGACCCUUCCACAGUGGGAAAGAGGGUGGGAAUGAUACAGGUGCCCUUGCGAGCUCAGAAGACCGACGUUUUCCUUAGAAGGCACUGUGUUGUUGUACAGGCUGCACUUCCCUUGAGUAGAUGCUGCCAGAGGGCAGGGGGCUCGGCCACCUUUCAGCUUUCACUUUUCACUCCACAGUGAUGAGUAGUUACUGAUAACUUACUGAUCCCUCCAUAGUAGACAGCCAUAGAUGUAAUAUCAUUGUUUUUCCCAGCUUAUAAUUUAUUUUACCGUAUGAUCUCUUGUUACUUUUACUGCAGCCUUGUAAAUUGUAUUCUCUUUACAACAAGUACCUUCGAGGGUUUGUAGUUCACCCAGAGCUUUUUGGUUCUUGACUUUUUUGGCCUGUCCUUAGGCGAGGUGACUGGAGAUUACGUUCAUAGAUGAGUAAUAGGCUGGAAGCAUCUGAGUUACAACUCAAGUCUGCCCUACUCCCUUCCCUUCAUUUGAAUCCAGAGUCAGAGUGAGGGAGUAGGGGAUCAGUUAGAGGUGGUGAGUGAGGUUUCUCGUGAGCAGUAGGUGUGGGAUUAAAAUCACAGGUGCUGCCACAUGGGAUCCUUUGAUCUCUCUUGGCCUGCGGUGGCUGAGUGUCUGGGUGCAGAGGGCGGAGACUGGACUGACACAGAGAGUUCCCUGUAGGUGAGAGCAGAUCUGGCCUUCACCUGCCCUCCUCCCUCUGCCCCUGCAUGCAGACACCCCACCGCAGGAAGCAGUCCUGUGCAGACUUUGCUCCUAAGUCUUCAGUCUUCCUUCCACAGGUUCUGAGGCAUGUGAAUGGCCAGGAUCAGAUCGUGCCCGGCCUGUAUGCCUGUGGGGAGGCUGCCUGCGCCUCCGUGCAUGGUGCCAACCGUCUUGGGGCAAACUCACUCUUGGAUCUGGUUGUCUUUGGUCGGGCGUGUGCCCUGAGUAUCGCGGAGUCCUGCAGACCCGGUAUGUGUUUCUCCAGGCUGUUUCAGGAGGCAAGAGGUUGCCAUGUCUUGAUUUGUAAUUGGAAAUUUGUUUAGUGAUCAUGGAGGGGGUAGUCUCUUUUUACCCCCUAUAAGUGAGGAAACAGAGCAAUCAGAGAUUUAUAUGGUGAUAGACGAGACUAGACACAGGUUGGGUGAGGGUCUUAACAAUUAAGAAGGUAACCUGGUUUUGGUCAGGUUCUGUCCUAUAGUCCUUGUGUUCUGCUUAGAAAAGUCAUUGUUAGGGAGUUAUUUUAAGGGGAGGUUUAUAACAUAGUUGCUUGCUCAAUAUAAAUUACUUAUUUGUAGUGAAAUAUUUUAAACAGGUAUGACGAAAGAGUAGUUUUCAGUACUUAUGGAAAAGUAAUUUAGAUUCUAAAAACAAAAUAUAAAUACCCUAUUAAAGCAGAAAGGGAGGACGUAAUGUACACAAAACAGAGGAUUGGGUCAUAUCCGUCCCUGCAUUGAUACAGUGGAUUCAAGUCAGUGAUUGCGUUCUUCUGUUAAAAUAAUCUGCUGAGGAAAAAAUGCCAUGUGCUAGAAGGGUGAGUCCCACUGUGAACAGGACACUUACUGUCGCUUUGACAUUCAGAGGGUCUUCAUGUAGAUUGUGUUGGCCCAUUUGCUCAGAACAACAUGUGAGGGGAAGUCACUGUUCCCAAGGGAAGUGUCGUGGGAUCCCCAGGCCUCUGCUCUUCUCAUUACGCUUCAUUGACGGUGACUAUUUAGUAUCAAUUGUGCUAUUUUUAUUGCACAAAAGCUUUUCGUAUGGACUUUAAGUUGGUGAAAAUCUUACUAUCCCAUUAGUUAAACACAGCCCUUAGUAUACCAUGCCGUGCUCCCCUUUACAUCUGCAGUUAGCAGAUACAUGUAAGGAGAAGGACAGUUGUAUUUUCAGACACCACCCCCCCCUUGCUCUGACUACAAGUCCAGGCUGUGAAGGGCAGAUGUGGGGCCCUGUCCCAGUGUUUGCUGCAGAGGCAGGAGUUGAACCCACCUGGUCUGAUACCAAAUCUAAUGCUCAUUUCACUAUAGCAGUGAAGCCUAAAAUCAGAUCUCAGAGGAAAGCAGAAAAUUUGAGGUUUCUUUUCUUUGAAAAAGAGAAAAAGGAAGUUUUGUAAGAAUAUCUUUAUUUUCGGGGCAUCUGACUCUGAUCCCAGAGUCAUGGGAUUGAGCCCCACAUCAGGGGCUUGGAAUCUGCUCAGGAUUCUCUCCCUCUGCUCCUUUGCUCACGCAUGCACUCAUUCUCUCUCUCUCUCUCUCUCUCUCUCUCUCUCACUCUCAAAAAAAAAAAAUUUUUUUAAUAUUGUUAGAAAAAAUGAAUAUCUUGUACUUUUAUAUCUGAAGGAUCAGUAUACAGCUUUAAAAAGUUUUUUAAACUUAGCAGUAAAAAGGAACAAAUUACUCCUACAUGCAACAACACAAAUGCAUUUCAAAACAUAUUAGGUUGUAUGACCCAAGCUUAAAAGGCUAUAUACAUACAUCUAACUUUAUUUACAUAACAUCUUGGAGGAGACAGAACUAGGGAAUAACACGGCUUGGUGGUUGCCGUCCUGCUCAUGGUGGAGCUUGUGUGACUCUGUGAGGCAAAAUGUGCAAAACUCUACACCAAAAAUGAUAAUUACACUUUCACUUUUAAAAACAAAAAGAAAAGGAAAAGCAUCACUAUAUUUUCCCAAAUACGAAUAUUUUAAACAUUAAAAUGUUUAAACCCUAAUCUGGAUUCUAUUAUGAUGGUUACAGGAAUCCAUACCAUGUGUCAACAUUUGUAGAACUAUGCACCUAAAGAAAAAUAAUUUUGGUAAACGAUCACUUUUUAAAAACGUUAAAAACAAAAGCAGAAGAAACCACAACCAGGGGCACCUGGGUGGGUCAGUCAGUUGUGUCCGACUUCGGCUCAGGUCAUGAUAAAACAGUUUGUGGGUUCGAGCCCCGUGUCAGGCUCUGUGCUGACAGACCAGAGCCUGGAGCCUGCUUCGGAUUCUGUGUCUCCCCCGCCCCACUCCGCUUGUACUCUGUGUCUCUCAAAAAUGAAUAAACAUUAUAAAAAAGAAGAAGAAGAAGAAGAAACUGUAACCAGCCUAAAAUUGGGGCAUGUCACAUGAGAGACCAGUGCCUUGGCCCCUUGCAGAGAGCAGCUGUGAGCAGCCCAACUUUACCUGCAAACCUUUGUUUCCUGUUUUUCAUACCUUCUGCCCCUUUUACCUCUUGAAAAAAAUACAUUUCAAAACAUGUUACCCCCCCCCAAAAAAAAACCUUUAAAAAAUCUUCAAAACAUUUAUCUUUAUUUUUUAGAAAAGCAAGAAGAGCAAAUCUUGAGGUUUGGUUAAGCAGAUAUAAGGGUCUGAAUCAGCAAGAGACUUUUAAACGUGCCAGACCAGGUCCUCCCUCGUCUUUGAAUGAGGACCACGUGGUGGUGGGGGUGGGUGGGGGUGGCAGAAUUGUUGGAAACUGCUCACUACCUGAAGGUGCCAGUUCUCCCUUCUGUAGAGUAAUACUGCAAGGUGUCUUUGCAUAAAUCUAAUUUUUAAGCUUAAGAAUAGUUUCUGUUUUGUUCAAAGAUUUCUUACUGGGUACCUCCUCCUUGCUAGAAAUUUUGUCUUUAUAUGUUUACGGCCCCAAGUCAAUAUGUGGUGCUUCAGUUAAAGGGUGGCUUGGGUGGAACAUUGGCUCAGGUUACGGGUACAUUUUCCAAAAGCCAUUAAAUUCUAGCUUUUUGUUUGUAUAUUUUUUAAGGAGAUAAAGUUCCUCCAAUUAAACCAAAUGCUGGAGAAGAGUCUGUCAUGAAUCUUGAUAAGUUGAGGUUUGCUGAUGGAACCCUAAGAACAUCAGAACUACGACUCAACAUGCAGAAGGUAAGCACCUGUGCUCUGAAGUGAGCAGGCCAUUGUGUCCACAGUCCUGUGCCAGGCCCGGGUUGAGUAGCAAGAGGACACAUUGCACACAGAAGGCCGCAGGUAGCAGCCCAGGGCGGAAACUACAACUUCUACAUCCCACCAUGCUUGUAUGUGGCUCCUCAGACCCUCUCUUCUGUUGUGUGUAUGUCACAGCCUGAAGGGGGAGAGAGAUUGGAAGGUCCAAGAAGGUCCCGGCUGGGAACUUCCUUAUACCAGGCUUCCUGAAAGCCCAGCACAUCUCAUUGCCAAGAAGUUAAUCCUAUCAUCACACCCAGCUUCUAGCAACUCUGGGAAAUGUCUUUAAACUGGGGCCAUUGUAUCCCCUAAAUAAAGUCAGGAAGAGUGGAGAGUGUGGGUUUUGGGAGGAAAUGGUAAUCUGUGCACUAGUUGUCGUCACAGUAUUUAUCUUCUAGAUCAGCAUGUCUGAUGGGAUGUUCUCUGAGGAUGGGAACAUGUGUCUUUGACCACAUGUGACUGUGCAGCAUGUGAAAUGUGGCUAGUGUGACUAAGAACUGAGUUUUAUUCAGUUUCAAUUUAAUAUAAAUCGCUACACAUGGUUACUGCAUCGGAUAACGCAGGGUUAGAUCAAUAAAAGUAGUAUGUAAAACAGCUAGGGAUCCAUCAAGUUCUUCGACUACAGAGAUCCUUGGUCCAUGAGUAAGAUCUCUGUCCACUUGAAAUUAUUUGUAAGAAUUUGUGGAGGCAUUUUCCAAAAAGAAGCCACCCUUUGCUUUAGUCACAUUCUGAUAAGGAGUCCAGUGGCACAAAUGCUCACCACCAAAAGUUGCACCAUGCAGCUUUUAUAGGACGGUGUGGUUCUGUGUUCAGGUGAGACUGGGCUUCAGGGAGGCUUCCUGGAAAGGUAAGGCAAAUAGCAUGUGUGAAGGACAAAGGUAUGUUUAAGGAAACCAGUCAAGUGAUCUGUGCAGGACUUUUGUGGGGUACUGAUACCAGGAGUUGGGAGGCCAGCUAGGACAGAUGUAAUCAUUGUGCUGGAUAGUAGGAACUUCCGUUUGGAUAUGGAAAUGGUGAAUCCAUGAGAGAUUUUGAAAUAGGAAACCUUAGAGGUAUUCCCACUAAAUAAGGUACGUACAGAUCUUUGACUUACAAUGGGGUUAUGUCCUGAAAAAAUGCAUUUAACACACUUGUCUUACUGAACAUUCGCCUAGCUGGCCUUAAAUGUGCUCAGAGCACCUAGGUUAGCUUGCAGUAGGGAAAGUUCAUCUGACAUGAAGCCUAUUUUAUAACAGGGUGUGGUCUGUCUCACAUAAUUUAUUGAAUACUGUACUGGAAGUGAAAAACAGUGUUUGUGUGAGUGGAGAUGGUUAUUGAGCCUCAGGAUCAUGGGGCUCAGUGGGAGCUGCAGCUGCUACCACCACCCAGAGUCAUGAGAGUGCACCCUAAUGCACACUGCUAGCCUGGGAAAAGGUGACAGUUGCCGGUACGGUUUCUCUGAAUGAAGAUCCCUUUUGUUUCUUUGUAAAGUUGAAAAAUCAUUGCUCAAACCCUCAUAGGUUAGGGACCAUCUGAAUUGGUAUCUGCUGUGUGCCAGGCAGUAUUCUAGAUGCCCGAGUCAUCCAAAGAAAACAAAAAAUCCUGCCCUCGUGGAAUGUACAUUUGAGUUGGGGGACGGAGUAAUCAUUUUGCUGAUUCCAGUAAAUACAGUAAGAAAGAGAAAAGAAAUGACGAAUGUAUUGAAAAGGAGUAGACAAAAUUAUUGCUUACUGAUACAAUUAAAAAUUCCAAGAUGGUAAGUGGAAAACUAAUAAAAACAAGAAUGAAGUAAAGCAUCUGGAUAAAAGGUUCAUAUAUAAAAAUGAGUAGCUUUCCAGUAUACCUGCAGUAAUCCAUUUGAAAAUGAUCUUCACAGUGCAGCCAAAAAGUUUAAAAUACCUUGAAUAAACCUAACCCUAAAGAGUAUGACAACAUGAGCGCUGAAGAACAUAAAAGAAUGUUUUAAUUAACAUUUACUAGAUUCUGAGAUAGCUUUUUCCCUUUGCUUUUGCUGAAAAGCCAAGACGUUUGAUGGUAUGCUUUAUAAUUUUUAAAUUAUGUAUCAUUCUAAAGAAAUAGAUGAGGUAUCUGUUAAAUAGAACUAAGUCAACAAGCUGUGUUAGUCUGUGAUAGAGAAGGAGACAUCUAGAUCAGUUGCAUAGAGUCCAGAAGUAGGCCCAGGCACACGUUGUGAUUAAGCAUGGGAUAAAGGGGUUUUUCAAGUGUGAUGAAAGGUCAUUCGGUGAGUGAUAGGAAACAAAGGUAGAUCCUAAAAUAAAUUUCAGUUUUAUUUCAUGUCCCAUUUCUUAUGAGCAUAAACAAGCAAACCAUACAGGAAUUUGACACAUGAGGAGUUUUUACAGUAUUUAACCAGAAGUCCACCAGGGAACGCUCCCAGGCUUCUCACUUCUCCCUCUACUUUAUGACCAUCCACUCCAGGCUCACUGCAGACCACCUCAUAAUCUUAGCACUUCUUAGUUUGUGUCAGCAAGGAGCCACCUGCUGCUCCUAGAACAUUUACCACCAGAUCUCGAGGGUGGAGCAAGUCUAGGAACUGCUGUCUCCUUGGGAAUUCGAAGGUGGAACCCUUACACCUUUCUGCCACCACUCAGUACAUUAUGCCUCAGAAGUAAGUCUGCUUGGAAUCACAGAUCUUGGCCAAGUUCCACAAACUGCCUUCCCUAAAUGCACAAUGUUCCAUUUUAAAUAACGGACAUGGAUUUAAGACAUGUACUUAAUAGGAACAUAGAAUCAUGUUUUAAAAGCAUUUAUCAGGGGCACCUGGGUGGCUCAGUCAAUUGAGUGACUGACUUCGGCUCAGGUUAUGAUCUCACUGCUCGUGGGUUCAAGCCCUGCAUCAGGCUCUGUGCUGACAGCUCAGAGCCUGGAUCCUGUGUCGGAUUCUGUAUCUCCCUCUCUCUCUCUCUACCCCUUCCCCAUUCACACUCUAUCUCUUAAAAAAUAAACAUUAAAAAAAUUUAAAAAGCAUUGGGGUGCCUGGGUGGCUCAGUCAAUUGAGCGUCUGACUUCGGCUUAGGUCAUGGUCUCGCAGUUCGUGGGUUCAAGCCCCACGUCAGGAUCUGUGCUGACAGUUCAGCCUGGAGCCUGCUUCAGAUCCCGUGUCUGCCUCUCUCUCUGCCCCUUCCCUGCUCACUGUGUCUCAGAAAUGAAUAAACGUUAAAAAAAUUAAUAAAAUAAAUUAAUAAAAAAGCAUUAAUCAGAACUUCAUUUAACAUCUAUUUAUGAUAAAACUCUCAACAAGGCAGGUAUAGAGGGAAUGUACCUCAGUGUAAUCAGGGCCAUAUGUGACAAGCCCACAGCUACUGUCACACUCAGUGGUGAAAAGCUAAAAGCUUUUCGUCUUAACAUAGGAGCAAGACAAUGUUCACUCUUACCACUUCAUUCAACACAAUACUGGAAGUCCUAGCUAGAGCAGUCAGGCAGGAAAGAGAAAUAAGAGGUGUCCAAAUUGGAAAGGAAGAAGUAAAAGUCACUAUUUAUAGAUGUAUCAGAUCAUAUUUGACACAGACUCCACCAAAAAAACUUAGACCUGGUAAGUGAAUUCAGUAGUGUUGAAAUAUGCAAAAUCAAUACAUAAAAAUCUGUUGUUUCUGUAUACAAAGAAUAAAUCUUCUGAAAGAGAAAUUAAGAACAUAAUCCCAUUUACAAUUGUUUCAGAAAGAAUAAAAUACCUGGGAAUAAUAAAUUUAACCAAGGAGGAGAAAAAUCAGUACACUGAAAACAGUAAAACAGUUUUCUCGUAUAGAAUGGGAGAAAAUAUUUGCAAAUUAUAUGUCUGAUAAGGGGCUAAUAUCCCAAAAUAUAUAAAGAACUCCUACAACUCAAUAGUGCAAAAACAGCCUAAGAAAUGUUCAGAAGGGCUGAAUGGAUGUUUCUCCAAAGAAGACCUAUGGAUGGCCAACAGAUACAUGAAAAGAUGCUCAAUGUCACUCAUCAUCAGGGAAAUGCAGAUCAGAACCACAAUGAGCCAUGGCUGGCUGGCUUAGCCAGUGGAGCGUGCAACUCCUGGUCUUGGGCUUGCGAGUUCGAGCCUUGUGUUAAAAAUAAAAUCUUUUUUGGGGUGCCUGGGUGGCUCAGUCGGUUGAGCGGCCAACUUCGGCUCAGGUCAUGAUAUCGCGGUCCGUGAGUUCGAGCCCCGCGUCGGGCUCUGUGCUGACAGCUCAGAGCCUGGAGCCUGUUUCAGAUUCUGUGUCUCCCUCCCUCUCUGACCCUCCCCCGUUCAUGCUCUGUCUCUCUCUGUCUCAAAAAUAAAUAAACGUUUUAAAAAAAAAUUUUUUUUAAAUAAAAUCUUUUUUAAGAAGGUGAAAUGCAUAAGAAAAAAAUCUAAAGGGUUUAAUGGUUCUUGGCAUGGCUUUUCAUAUGAAUUGAAGAUUUACAAAUGGUAUUUUGUGUUACAGUCGAUGCAAAAUCAUGCCGCAGUGUUCCGUGUGGGAAGUGUGUUACAGGAAGGUUGUGAGAAAAUCAGCCAGCUCUAUGGAGACCUAAAACAUCUGAAGACAUUUGACCGAGGUGAGCAUUUCUGUGGGCCCCUGCACACAAUUGGGGUGCUGGGCAUUUGCAAGGGAGGCUGCCUCAGGGUCCUGUCCAUCCCACUUAGUGCUGACUUACCCGUCCUUGCUAUUUGUGUGGAUGCUGGCAAGCCCAUAGCUACAGCCUGGAGUACCCAUCUGACUGGAUCCUGUCUCUCAUGGGUGCCUUGUGUGUCCUCAGGAAUGGUCUGGAACACCGACCUGGUGGAGACCCUAGAGCUGCAGAACCUGAUGCUUUGUGCACUUCAGACCAUUUAUGGAGCGGAGGCUCGGAAGGAGUCACGUGGUGCUCAUGCCAGGGAAGAUUAUAAGGUGCGCCUUCACAACAUACCCUAUUUGCACAUCAUGCCUUCUCUCACCUGGCCUUGCUUAGUCCCUAACCCUGUACUUUCUCUGCAUUUCACUCAAUUUUCCCAAAAGUAAAUUUUAAAAAGUAUGCCCUUUUUUUCCCCCCCUGAUAACUUUUACACUUUGGUAUCACUGUGUUUACUACCAAUGUGACCUUUUUCUUGGUUUGGAUCAGUAUCUGCUGCUGCCAGUAGCACCCUGAGCAAAACACACCUGAACUUUACUUGGUCAAAGGUUACUGUGCAGUCCGAGUAUUAUUGCCAGAAAAUGCUAACUUACUGACUUAAAAUGAUGAGGAAAUCAUCAUUUGAGACCUGAUCUCAUCUUGGGUCACUUUUUAAAAAAUUUUUAAUGUUUGGUUUUUUUUAAUGUUUAUUUUUGAGAGAGAGACAGAGCACAAGUUGGGGAGGGACAGAGAGAGGGAGACACAGAAUCCGAAGCAGGCUCCAGGCCCUGAGCUGUCAGCACAGAGCCUGACACGGGGCUCGAACUCAUGAACUGAGAGAUCAUGACCUGAGCCGACAUUGGAUGCUCAACUGACUGAGUCACCCAGGCGCCCCAUUGGGUCACUACUUUUUUAAAUGACCUGGUUUUUAUGCAGAGUACAGUUGUCAGAUUUUUCCAGAACAGAGCACUCAGCAUAUGACAGCAAAACAUCAAGGAAAUGGGCACUCGGGAACAAACACGAAUUUAGGAUGGAAUGUCGGCAGGACCCGAGCCACUUUCCAGACAGACAGGCUUUGGUCAGGGACAGUAUUAGUGUUCCUGGUAGCAGGCUCACCAGUCAGCUGUGAAACUUUGUUAAUUUACCUUCCACUGACUGGAGCUGGAUUAGAUUAAUAUUAAUUAAGCACGUUUGUCACAUGUACUGAGAACUAGAAGCUUCUCUAGGCUGUUGGUUGGCAGUUUGUGUGAUGAGAUGAAUGAGUUUUCAUUCAGUGUUAGCAGAUAAGCAGGUGGAAGCUGCUUCCCCUGGGAGAGCUCACCUGUAGGUAUGUGUUCAGAAAUAAGGGAAGGUGGGGCACCUGGGGGGGGGGGGGUGGUGCGGUGCUCAGUUAAGCAUCUGACUUUUGAUUUCAUCUCAGGUCAUGAUCUCACCAUUUGUGAGAUCAAACCUUGUGUCGGGAUUCUCUCUCCUCUGUCGCUCCACCCCUCUCCCCCGCUCAUGCUCCUUUCUCUUAUAAAAUAAAUAAACAAAAAGGGAAAGAAGGUGCUAGCGCCACUUGCUUGCCUUUCCCCACCACCACACUCACCUCACUCAGCAGAAACAGAAGCAAAGUGUUUUUAUUUUAUUUAAUUAAUUAAUUUUAUUUUUAAGUAAUUUGUCUCUACACCCAGCAUGGGGCUGAAACGCUUAACCCCGAGAUCAAAAAUUGUGUGCUCCACCGACUGAGCCAGCCAAGUGCCCCUGGUUUUCAUUUUAAGAGGCUCUUGUACAUUCUUACUCAUUUCUAUGUGCCGGGUAUUCCUUAAUAGUGUUCAGCUUCUCUUUGAGAGUUUUUGAACAAAAUUUUAAUAUAAUUGCUAGAACUGAAACAUUUCAAUAAAAGCUGAAAGAAGAUGAAAGUUCCCAGAGUACAGAGCAGAAAUACAAAGUAUUUGAUAAACUUUUAAGUGCAUAAAAGAUCUGAUUUCCACACCCAACCACCCACUGGUUGUAGAAAUGGAGCUCUGAGCUCAUGGUGCUGCAGACCCACUGCUAGCUCUGUGGCCUCAGUGGAUUCUACCCUUGUUGGGACCUGCGCCGUGGAGGCCCUGGAGUGAGGAACGGCCUGUCUGGGAGCCCCAGGGUGGACAGGUCCUCUGGAGGACUGACCACUGGCAGAUGGAUCACAUGUCUCAUCUCUCCAUCCCACCUGCAUUUGGGACUCAGUUGCACUGUUUUUCACAUUGUGUGUUGUUUUAUUUUUUUUUUUAAUUUUUUUUUCAACGUUUAUUUAUUUUUGGGACAGAGAGAGACAGAGCAUGAACGGGCGAGGGGCAGAGAGAGAGGGAGACACAGAAUCGGAAACAGGCUCCAGGCUCUGAGCCAUCAGCCCAGAGCCUGACGCGGGGCUCGAACUCGCGGACCGCGAGAUCGUGACCUGGCUGAAGUCGGACGCUUAACCGACUGCGCCACCCAGGCGCCCCUCACAUUGUGUGUUGUUUUAGAUCAGAUCUACACAAAAUGGUUUUUCAUUAGGGAUUGUAGAAGGAAGGGGCAUGGGUUGAAAAAUGGACUAGGAAUGUCCCAGCUCAGAACAAGGUCUGGUUGGGUCAGUGGAUACCUCCUUGUUGGGUGGGAUCUAGGAGGAUUCAUAGCAGACUGGUCUCUCAUGUAUCGUUUCAAUGAGUUUGCCAUAUUUUCCGGUUAAAUUGCUGUUAGAGAAGUAAGAAACUUGAAGUGUGAUUGUUAGUGGUAUUUUCUGAAAUACGCUUACUUUCUCUGGCCUCAGGAGCGGAUUGACGAGUAUGAUUACUCCAAGCCCAUCCAGGGGCAGCAGAAGAAGCCAUUUGAGGAACACUGGAGGAAGCACACCCUUUCCUAUGUCAACAUCAAGACUGGGAAGGUAUAUGGGGGCAUGUUCUGUUCACAUAGUGCUGACAAAUACGCUGUCCCACAUGUUCUAGAGUUCAGCAUAUGACGGACUGG